AGGAAGGAAAAGCUAUCACAGGGAAAAGGUGUCUUCACUAAAGUUUUAUCACCAAUCCUGGUUUCCACAGCAAGCCAAGUUUGUCAAAAUCAAAUGAUCACAGGGACAGAAAGUGAGAUGGCUUAUAAAAUAUUGAUCGAAGUAUCAUUUCUGAAACUAUAUGAAAAACUUAUAUGGAAAAUACUGUUACA
rnacentral:lncRNA from 11 species